AUUGAACGCUGGCGGCAGGCCUAACACAUGCAAGUCGAGCGGAUGACGGGAGCUUGCUCCUUGAUUCAGCGGCGGACGGGUGAGUAAUGCCUAGGAAUCUGCCUGGUAGUGGGGGACAACGUUUCGAAAGGAACGCUAAUACCGCAUACGUCCUACGGGAGAAAGCAGGGGACCUCCGGGCCUUGCGCUAUCAGAUGAGCCUAGGUCGGAUUAGCUAGUUGGUGGGGUAAUGGCUCACCCAGGCGACGAUCCGUAACUGGUCUGAGAGGAGGAUCAGUCACACUGGAACUGAGACACGGUCCAGACUCCUACGGGAGGCAGCAGUGGGGAAUAUUGGAAAAUGGGCGAAAGCCUGAUCCAGCCAUGCCGCGUGUGUGAAGAAGGUCUUCGGAUUGUAAAGCACUUUAAGUUGGGAGGAAGGGCAGUAAGCUAAUACCUUGCUGUUUUGACGUUACCGACAGAAUAAGCACCGGCUAACUCUGUGCCAGCCGCCGCAGUAAAAC
rnacentral:rRNA from 1 species